rnacentral:rRNA from 1 species
ACUCAAAGGAAUUGACGGGGGCCCGCACAAGCGGCGGAGCAUGCGGAUUAAUUCGAUGCAACGCGAAGAACCUUACCAAGGCUUGACAUACACCGGAAACGGCUGGAAACAGUCGCCCCGCAAGGUCGGUGUACAGGUGGUGCAUGGUUGUCGUCAGCUCGUGUCGUGAGAUGUUGGGUUAAGUCCCGCAACGAGCGCAACCCUCGUUCUAUGUUGCCAGCGGGUCAUGCCGGGAACUCAUAGGAGACUGCCGGGGUCAACUCGGAGGAAGGUGGGGAUGACGUCAAAUCAUCAUGGCCCUUAUGUCUUGGGCUUCACGCAUGCUACAAUGGCCGGUACAAAGGGCUGCAAUACCGUAAGGUGGAGCGAAUCCCAAAAAGCCGGUCUCAGUUCGGAUUGAGGUCUGCAACUCGACCUCAUGAAGUCGGAGUCGCUAGUAAUCGCAGAUCAGCAACGCUGCGGUGAAUACGUUCUCGGGCCUUGUACACACCGCCCGU